GAAUGGUUGAAUAGUCGAUUUUGCCCUUGUUUUGUAUAGCUUUGCUCCUUUAGAUGCGAGGGUAUUGAUGAAAAACUGACUUCAAAAUUUGUUUGCUUACAGCGGUUCCUCCCUUCUUUUUCCAACGGUGAUCUCCCUCCGUUGACCACAAUAUUCGACCACCUCCUCUCUCCUCUCACCGAUCUCCUUCCUCCUCUCUCCUCUCACCGAUCCCCUCUCUCCUCUCUUCUUUGGCGACCGCCGAUGACAUCUCCUCUAUGGUGGCGAUUUGUUUGAUUUUGUGGGUAUUCAUAGUGUUCACCAGCGAAUCAAACGGAAAUUGAGCCCAAGGAUGGAAGAAUACGACAGAAGCUUCUAUUAAGGCAACCUUCUGAAGAAGUUAAAAGGCGAUGAAUGGACCUUAUCACGAAACCUUGGAUGCCUCAAAACAUAUAAUACCAAAAGAACACAUAGCCCUUGGAUGGGAGUGAACCAAAGCACCACAGCUGCAACCAAACAGGAUACCAUAAACAGAGCUGUGGCUCUCGGAUCGCUGGAAUCGGACUCGCCGAGUCGCGGAUCCGGGCGGCGCGGAGGUCUGCGACGGUGGCAGAGCGGAGGGAGGGGUUGGAGGAGAAGGUGUUAAGGAAGAGGUCGUAGAGGAGGGUGGAGGAGCAGAGCUUGUUGCCUUGGAUCUGGAAGACAAUGGAUGAGAGGAGAAGAGAGAGAGAGAGAGAGAGAGAGUAGAGUAGAGACAAAAAGUCAAAUUUCUCUGAUAUAUGUUUAGGGACCUUAGACAUUAAAAAAUAAUUUUAUGGAUCUCUUCCCUUAUGAAAAGUGAGAGAGGGACCCUAGACUAAUUUUCCCUUUUUAAUGCAUUGAAAGGUAAUAAAUGAAUAAAAUAUUCAAAU